UGGGGAAUAUUGGACAAUGGGCGAAAGCCUGAUCCAGUCAUGCCGCGUGUGUGAAGAAGGUCUUCGGAUUGUAAAGCACUUUAAGUUGGGAGGAAGGGUUGUAGGCUAGUAUCCUGCAAUUUUGACGUUACCGACAGAAUAAGCACCGGCUAACUUCGUGCCAGCAGCCGCGGUAAUACGAAGGGUGCAAGCGUUAAUCGGAAUUACUGGGCGUAAAGCGCGCGUAGGUGGUUCAGCAGGUUGGAUGUGAAAGCCCCGGGCUCAACCUGGGAACUGCAUCCAAAACUACUGAGCUAGAGUACGGUAGAGGGUGGUGGAAUUUCCUGUGUAGCGGUGAAAUGCGUAGAUAUAGGAAGGAACACCAGUGGCGAAGGCGACCACCUGGACUGAUACUGACGCUGAGGCUCGAAAGCGUGGGGAGCAAACA
rnacentral:rRNA from 1 species